GGUGGGGCCGUCGUCCGGGCCCGAGCGACGGCCACUACACCUGCCGCCGCCUCGGACACAACAUCCGCCGACGACAGACUGGUCUGCUCGGCGACCGUUGCGGUUGCUGUGCCCCCUCCCCUUUCUGGGGAGGGGGCACUCUUCAACUGAUCGCCCCUCUUUGAAAUAAAAACGACGGCGAUGAAAAUAUUAUCUGGAGUUCAACAGAAGUCCUCCUCGCCUUCAGCUUUAUGAUAAUGAUUUGAAUGAGGACAGUCCGGAUGCCCUGAUGGGCAGGCAGGCAAUCCGGGCACCACUAAGGUACAACAGGAGACACAUCCGAAGCUUUAACUGGGCCUGGUGUCCGGCCGGUCAGACACCCACCGCUUCGGUGCAGUCUCCCGCCGCGCGGCCGAUUGCCACCUGAGGUUCCCACCAGGUCGCCGAGUGGAGGCAGCACCGACCACGGCAGCCACAGAUGGCGCUCGACACCGCUCGACCGACCACCACCGACGGAGCCGCGGUGCCGCACCCGAGCUGUGACACGGCACCUAACAGCGAGCCGAUCCCAGACUCCGAGCCCGCCGGAUACCAGCAUCGCCACCGCGCGGCCGCCCAGCCGCUCCUGUUCAGCCUUCAACCGGCUGACUGUUGUUAAUGUUUACCAGGAUCGGCAGCGUGCACGGCGCUGCCGACCCGUGCCCGUGCGGCCGCCGGCGGCGGACCGGAGCGGACUGCUCCCGCGCCGAGCCGCUGCCGCACGGGCACCACCACCAGCACACCGCCCCCCGGGGAUGGCGCAGGGAGAAACGGCUCACCGCCAGCGUCUCCAUAAGCUUGUUAUGGCGUCUGCCGGUGGCGUGGCGGCGGCCCCCGGCCACCGGCUGACGCCGCGUUGUUAUUGCUCAAAACAGCCCACUCAGAAAUAAGCCAGAAUAAAAAAAUAAACGACGAGUAUGUGCGCGAAGUGCAGUGUAUGAAUGUGUGAAUGUACGUGCUGCGUGAACAGCACUGAGCUAGGUCGGGGCGUUAUGCGCAAAUAGUGUGCGUGGCGGGACCACUUCACCAGAGUGCCUGUUGUUAUUUAUGUAGUCGCUGGUAAGCGGUUGAAGCUUCCUAUACUCUGACUGCGCAGGUACGAGCGUUUCUCAUUAUUUGCAAAACGGUGUGGGUCGUCCAUAUCCCUCAUCUUUAUGCAUUCAUAGAACUUCAUUGUUUCAUUACUGGAAGUAUGGUGAAUGGAUCGAUACGAGUACGCUUCGUAUUUUAUAGACGAUUCGUCUUUGUAACCAAACAAAUGUUUUUCACAAUACCGAAAUACAUAUUUUUACGAAGA
rnacentral:lncRNA from 1 species